rnacentral:sRNA from 1 species
AUACAACUCGUACACUCCGGUUCUGAGUACGCCGCCCACACCCGACUGACGACUGCUCGCUACGUUUGAUUAGCC